rnacentral:rRNA from 1 species
ACCGUACCCCAAACCGACACAGGUGGUUGGGUAGAGAAUACCAAGGCGCUUGAGAGAACUCGGGUGAAGGAACUAGGCAAAAUGGCACCGUAACUUCGGGAGAAGGUGCGCCGGUGAGGGUGAAGCACUUGCUGCGUAAGCCCACGCCGGUCGAAGAUACCAGGCCGCUGCGACUGUUUAUUAAAAACACAGCACUCUGCAAACACGAAAGUGGACGUAUAGGGUGUGACGCCUGCCCGGUGCCGGAAGGUUAAUUGA